rnacentral:rRNA from 1 species
AUACGUAGGGUGCAAGCGUUAAUCGGAAUUACUGGGCGUAAAGCGUGCGCAGGCGGUUUUGUAAGACAGUGGUGAAAUCCCCGGGCUCAACCUGGGAACCGCCAUUGUGACUGCAAGGCUGGAGUGCGGCAGAGGGGGAUGGAAUUCCGCGUGUAGCAGUGAAAUGCGUAGAUAUGCGGAGGAACACCGAUGGCGAAGGCAAUCCCCUGGUCCUGCACUGACGCUCAUGCACGAAAGCGUGGGGAGCAAACAGGAUUAGAUACCCUGGUAGUCCACGCCCUAAACGAUGUCAACUGGUUGUUGGGGAUUUAUUUUCUCAGUAACGAAGCUAACGCGUGAAGUUGACCGCCUGGGGAGUACGGCCGCAAGGUUAAAACUUAAAGGAAUUGACGGGG